GCGCCCCGCGACCCUAACCAGGAUAAGCGGUGUUGAAAAUGGAUGGAUGGAUAAAUUUAGCCUUGGUUGUUAUGGUAUGUACAUUUGGAUCGCAUACAACAACUUGAAGAAGAAGACAAAGAAGAUUAUUUUUAAUAAAACACCAAAUUUUCAGAUGUUCUCCUCACAAGUGAUAAACAGACCCGUGUGGAACACGGGGAAGACGAAGCGGUCGUCUCCCGUCUCCCAGGAGAACUGGAUGUGGGAGGAGUUGGACACGCCGGGAACUGGGAUACAUUUGCUAUGCUUGAUG